CCGAGCAGGGGGAGAGGAGAAACAUUCAGCCGCCUCCAGGAAGAGCAUGAAAAUCUUACCCCAGCAUCCAGAAGUCUCUCGCCUGCGCAAAAAAAUAUAUCCCCACGGUGACUGACAGCCGGGAUCCCGCGCUGGGCUGCAGACCUCCAGAGCUGUGAGGAUGGAUUGCACUUUUUGGAUUUCCGAUGGCGGUUUGCACACAAGGUUUAUUUCCCCUAGCAAACCACCUUCGCUACUGCCAAGAGCUCGAGGCGGGGACAGAUUAAAUACCGGAUUAUUCUCUUGGUGGGAAAAAAAUACAGAACAUUUGCUGUCCCCGUUCGCCCGCGUCAGAGACGUUAAGGCCACUUUCUGUCCCUGGGAAUUUCAAAUCUGACGGAAAAAGGACGCCCAGAAUUAGGUGAUUAUAACCCAACAUAUCCAGACACCGGGAACUAAAGUAUACGUCGCCGGAUCCCGCCAGAGUUAUUUGAAGCGAAACUGAACUAAUAUUUUUUUGUCUUCAAUUAUGUUUUGCGUUUUAUAUUAGGAAUGAAAUACUGCUCUGACAUUAAUGUUUCAAUAAAUACGCUAAAUAUACAGUCAUAA